rnacentral:rRNA from 1 species
GAUGAACGCUCGCUACAGGCUUAACACAUGCAAGUCGAGGGGCAGCAUGGUCUUAGCUUGCUAAGGCCGAUGGCGACCGGCGCACGGGUGAGUGACACGUAUCCAACCUGCCGUCUACUCUUGGACAGCCUUCUGAAAGGAAGAUUAAUACAAGAUGGCAUCAUGAGUUCACAUGUUCACAUGAUUAAAGGUAUUCCGGUAGACGAUGGGGAUGCGUUCCAUUAGAUAGUAGGCGGGGUAACGGCCCACCUAGUCUUCGAUGGAUAGGGGUUCUGAGAGGAAGGUCCCCCACAUUGGAACUGAGACACGGUCCAAACUCCUACGGGAGGCAGCAGUGAGGAAUAUUGGUCAAUGGGCGAGAGCCUGAACCAGCCAAGUAGCGUGAAGGAUGACUGCCCUAUGGGUUGUAAACUUCUUUUAUAAAGGAAUAAAGUCGGGUAUGUAUACCCGUUUGCAUGUACUUUAUGAAUAAGGAUCGGCUAACUCCGUG